rnacentral:pre_miRNA from 1 species
UCUUGGUGAUGAUGUCUCCUGUGGAUGUCUUGGUGAUGAUGUUUCGAGACAUCACCAAGACAUCCACAGGAGACAUCAUCACCAAGA